rnacentral:lncRNA from 10 species
CUCAGAAGCACGUGCGCCUUACGUAAUUUCCUGUUAUUCUUCGGUUUGCCUCCUCCCAGUGGCGUGGAUUUGCUCCCGACCCGCUUUUGGGGCGUGCCUGCUUCCUCCUCUCUGUUAGAUCUCGCUCUGUCACCCAGGCUGGAGUGAAAUGGCACAAUCUUGGCUCACUGUAACCUCCGCCCCCAGGUUCGACUGAUUCUCGUGCCUCAGCCUCCUCAGUAGCUGGGAUUACAGAUGAGCCCCAGAGAGGCGAAGCCACUUGAGCUCGUGAGUGACAGUCAGAUGUCAAGCCCUGCUCUUUCUAAAGCGUGCUGCCUUCAGAAAAGAAGAGCCAGAAGGAUGGAAAUUACUUCAGAAAGAUGAAUACCAGCUUUGAAGGAAUAAAAGCUGACGAGGAAUUGAAGGAGUUGAGGCACGAGCUUGAACAGGGUUGCAUGUUUGGCCCUUGAUUGUAAAUGCCCAUUGCUGCACCUGUUCCUGUUACUUGGGGAGUUGCAGCAGAAGGAACAGCGGCCUGGGACUCCAGAGAACUGGGUUCCCUCUCAUCCCUCCAGGGCCACCACUUCUUGUGGGCCCUUGGGCAAGUCACUGUACUUUCUGAGUCUCAGUUUCCCCAUUUGCAGAAUGGAAAUAACUACCCCGGUCUACCAACUUAGAAGAAUUGCUUUGAGGAUCUGAUAAGGUGGUGUGGAUGAUGCUGCCUUGGGGGCUUUACAGUCUGGAGCUCAAGGGACCCCUUAAGUUGGGCUUACUUAGUAACUCCAGGGGUGGGCAGAACAGGACUCCAAUGAGGGUUUUUUUCUUUUUCCCUUUUUUUUCUUUUCCUAUCUCUUAACUUUUAUCUUUAUUAUUUUACAAUGCCCUUGUAAGAUGAAACAAGUGAUGCUGAAAUAUCUUUUUCUUUUUUAACCUUUAUUUUAGAAUUGGGGUACAUGUGCAGGUUUGUUACAUAGGUACAGUGUGGGCUGCUGAGGUUUGGGAGUACGAAUGAAUUAGUCACCCCAGUGGUGAGCAUAGUGCCCGAUAAGUGGUUUUUUCAACCCUUACUCCCAUCCCUCUCCAUUCUUGUGUUCCCCAGUGUCUGCUGUUCCCAUUUUUAUGACCAUGUGUACUCAAUGUUUAGCUCCCACUUAGAAGUAAGAACAUGCCCAGCACUUUGGGAGGCCGAGGUGGGUGGAUCAUGAGGUCAAGAGAUCGAGACCAUCUUGGCUAACAAAGUGAAACCCUGUCUCUACUAAAAACAUAAAAAAUUGGCCGGGUGUGGUGGUGGGCACCUGUAGUCCUAGCUACUCGGGAGGCUGAGACAGGAGAAUCGCCUGAACCGGGGAGGUGGAGGUUGCAGUGAGCUGAGAUUGUACCACUGCACUCCAGCCUGGGUGACAGAGUGAGACUCCAUCUCAAAAAAAUAAAAAUAAAAAAAUAAAAAGAAUGUGGUGUAUGA